AACCUCUCCAAACCACCUCCACCCUGAUCUCCACAACCCCCUGAUCCUCUCCUAAACCACUCCGGCGAGCCCUCCCAUGGCCACCUCGACGCCGUGAUCUCUACAUCUAAUGAAGGAGUCCGUACGUCGUUCGUUCGUUCGCACGCAACCCUCGCAUCGAUCGACCUCCCCCACCGAUUUUCCUCCAAAUAAAACGUUUGACUCCACCUCCUCUUCCGCAUGGAAAAAAGGGAGGAAAUCACCUAUGUUUUUGGUUUCCUUUCACGGUCUCCAUCCUAUCCAGACCCGCCCUCACCCCCGAACCUCUCCAAACCACCUCCACCCUGAUCUCCACAACCCCCUGAUCCUCUCCUAAACCACUCCGGCGAGCCCUCCCAUGGCCACCUCGACGCCGUGAGAUUCGGGGGCGGCGGAAUCGAGAGGUUAUCAUGGAGUGCAGGUCGUUGUGUGACUGCAUGGUGACGCCCGGCUGAAGCAUCGAGAUGGAGGACACGGCCGCCGCUGUGAUGUGCUUUACUGGUGUGCCCGUGCGCCUGCUCACUAGGCGCCGCGACGGGUUGGGUCUCACCGCUGCCAUGGAUUUGAACUACUACCGCGGGAGGCUGCACGUCAUGCUAAGCAAUCGUCCUGAGCAAGCAGUUGAGGCUACACCAGCUAAGGAUCCGGUGGAAGCCGAUUCAUCUCUGCUAAUCUGAGAAAGAAUAAUGGGAAGGUAAGUCUGUAAGCAUUGAAAUUUUCUAUACUUUCUAUGACGAUGCAAUCUACCUUCUACAUGUAAAUAGAAUAUCGCAUAUCGGUAAUAAUAUCUUUGUAGUGCAAUUUUGCAUAAUGUGGAAGCUUGUACUAAUUGGCUGCUUACCGUGACACCAACAUAUGUGCUUUCUCCGCUUUGCAUUUCUGUUAUUGUGAUGAAUUCUAAUUUAACAGGACACGCAUGUCCGCAUAGGAUACAACUAGCUGCAUGGCAUGAGAUUAUUCAACGUGUUGAGUAAUCUGGAAUGGUAACAUUUUUGGUUAAAUGGGAUGCUCUUGAGAUUAUUUCUCAUGCCAACAUGGCAUGCCCGAGUGAAAAAUGUGCCACCGUUGGGCAGGGUCGUGCCUUCUUAGAGGAGGUUUCUGGUUGGAUAAAUGAGAAGGCAUGAUGCCUGUUUGGGCUUAGAUGACUCCUAACAUUGCAGGUAUUAUAGAGGGACCUUGAUCUACAUCUAUUGAGUAAUUAGCAGUCACAUGUCUUCUGUGUUUUUACUUGUUAUGGUGUCAACUGAUGAAGUUCUAACAAUUUUUUUAUCAUUGACUACUUUUCAAAAACUUAGUUUUCUCACUGUAUUGAUCUCAGUAGUUUGGUUCUCUGGUCAUACAUUACAUUGUUCUACAUAUCUUCCCUGGAUUAUUUGGCUUGGGCAUCAACUGGGACAGGGUGGGACAUCAUGGUGGGAUUAGGCAUGUAAAUUCUGGUUUUAGUUUUACUUUCAUGUUUGGUAAGACAGACAAAAACUAUGAGUGACUGAUUUGUAUCUUGAAAUGCAUCCUAUGAUGAAUCAUCAUGAAGUGUCGAUGUAUAUUGAACUUUCUAAAAUGAUGGGACUUCAACCCUCAAACUCAUAAUCCACCCUCCCUACCCCUCCCUGAAUUACCGUCCCCUCCAGCCAAACAACACCACCAUUUCUAAUUUGAUAUUCUGUUCGCUGUAUUAAACAUGAGUCAUGUUCAUAUUGCACUGUCAAGAUCAGAUAUGUAGUGCACAAUUGAUGAUAAUCUUUUUAAAGUCUUGACGUUGCUAGCCCACACCGACGAACUCUGCUAUUCGGACUCUGAUCCCUAGGCGCCGGACGCAUACCCACAACCACGGACAGACCGUCAGUGAGUGCCUCACAUUAGAUGCUGAUCCACUCCACCUCCGGUUAUCAUAGACCAACCUAUCCGAGGUAUACCAUAUUACCACUCUAAAAUUCAACCACUUUCUUAGUCACAAAUUGAACAACUUUUGUUAUAAAAAAUUAAUUGGACCAAUGAUGAAGUGAUUGGAUUUUAACCUAUGACAUCGUGGUAGAUUUUCAAAGAUGAAGACUUCUUAGAUUUUAUUGAAAUAUUUUAUGGGAAUUUUUGCAGGAUUUUUAGCAGAGAUCUAUUUUCAUAGAUUUAUUUGUAGUGAGUCAAAGAUGAAGACUAGCGAAUUAGAAAGUUUAUUUGUGGCGAGUACAUAUUUUGGAGCGGUUAAUUAGAAAGUUUAGCACAAAGGACUCUGUGUUAUGUGUCUCUGGAAUUUACUUUACAUUUUGGAAGUAAUGAAUUAAGGACCGAACUAUUUUUUUUGGUGUGUCUGUCUGAAAGAUUACCUGUGUUGUUAUUUAUCAUAAUCGAUUUCCUCAUUAGAAUCUUCAUGGGUUUGAGUCUCCUCAUUCUCACUGUCUACAGAGCCAUCUAGAACAACCUGUACCCUCGCUGCAUAAGUAGCUUCAG